rnacentral:rRNA from 1 species
GUAGGGAAUCUUCCGCAAUGGGCGAAAGCCUGACGGAGCGACACCGCGUGGUGGAUGAAGCUUUUCGGAGUGUAAACACCUUUUCUAGAGGAAGAAGAUCUGACGGUACUCUAGGAAUAAGGACCGGCUAAUUACGUGCCAGCAGCCGCGGUAAUACGUAAGGUCCGAGCGUUACCCGGAAUUAUUGGGCGUAAAGCGUCCGCAGGUUGUGAGUUAAGUUGAUUAUGAAAUACCAGCGCUCAACGUUGGUGCUGUAGUCAAAACUGGCUUGCUAGAGGAAUGGAGAGGUGUGUGGAAUUGUGCAAGUAGGGGUAAAAUCCGUAGAUAUGCACAGGAACACCAAAAGCGAAGGCAGCACACUGGACAUUUCCUGACACUCAUGGACGAAAGCGUGGGGAGCAAAAGGG